AUGCACCACAACGAUCGUGUGAAGAUGCAGUUCGGAAUGCAUCAAGAGAUACCAAGUGAUCCAACAGAUUUGUCCCCCUGACAUCUAAAAAGGGUCGACGCCCAGUGGGGUCUUACCAACUGGAAAGACUUUGCUCCGGAAUGGUGUAAAAUGUGGCAAAGGCGUCACCGCUACAUCUUGCAAUCCCCGAUUUUCCUUACUCAAGGUAACAUGCGACACACUGAUCAAUAUAUGUCGUGGUACAGGUCGGUUAGUAACCCAGAAAUGCACGUGUCUCAUCCGAGGUACUUGGUUGACCCACGCACACAAUGGGCACAACCCUCGAUUCCCCAUCAACAAACCCAAAAUCCAUCAACCUCAAACCAACCCCCAAGAAGAAACAGACCAACAAACACACAACCACAUUCCCCACCACAACACAACUACAAUCAAAUGCCGUACUACCAACCACAAUCACCACCAAACUACCAAUACCCGGAUAUGCCUCAAACCCAA